rnacentral:rRNA from 1 species
GCCUUAGUUGCCAGCAGUUCGGCUGGGCACUCUAAAGGGACUGCCGGUGUUAAACCGGAGGAAGGUGGGGAGUGACGUCAAGUCCUCAUGGCCUUUAUGACCAGGGCUACACACGUACUACAAUGGCCGAUACAAAGGGCAGCGACACUGCGAGGUGAAGCCAAUCCCGUAAAAUCGGUCUCAGUCCGGAUUGGAGUCUGCAACUCGACUCCAUGAAGUUGGAAUCGCUAGUAAUCGUGGAUCAGCAUGCCACGGUGAAUACGUUCCCGGGCCUC